GCCCGGUUAGCUCAAUCGGUAGAGCGUGAGACUCUUAAUCUCAAGGUUGCGGGUGAGUUUUCCAACUAACA